GAAAUUUCUGAUUCAUUUAAGCGGUGGAACAAGCGAACAACGGUGGAAGUUCUGCAACGGCAGAAGAAGAUAUCGGCGCUCGGCGGUGGAACAACUGAACAAGGUUACAAGAAUAAGAAUUAGAUUUAACUUUUAAGUUUUUAUGUUUUUAAUUAGGAAUUUAGGAUAUAGAUUUAAUUUUACAAUUUUAAAUAUAAAUUUAUCUAUUUAAUAUAUUGUAUAAGGUUAUUUAUAUAAAUUAUACAAUAUAAAUUUUUUUAUAAGAUCUAUAUGCAAUUUUCUCCGGGUACGGGGAUUAUCUGGGACGGGGAUUUCAAUCCCCGUACCUGGAAAUGACCAAGGAUUUCGACCGGGGACGGGGAAUUUUCUGCUUCGGGUAGAAAAAUCAUCCCCGUACCAAGGCGGGUACGGGGACGG
rnacentral:lncRNA from 1 species